UGUCGCCACCGCUCACUGACGCCACCACCGUUCGAUCACAUCAUCACCGUCGAUCAAACACCAUUUCAUUACACAAUUUCAUCAAUACGAUCGUGACCGUUCGUUCUCAUUCUUUCCAAUAAGUUCUCCGUUUCUAGGUUUGUGCUGAUAUACCGUGAAUGCCCAAGAGGGUAUUUUAACACAACAUGGGUUUUGACAAUGAGUGCAUUUUAAACAUUCAAUCUCUUGCCGGCGAGUACUUUUGUCCCGUAUGUCGAACACUUGUCUAUCCACAUGAAGCAGUCCAGACACAAUGCACUCACUUAUACUGCAAACCUUGUUUGUCAUAUGUUGUAAGUAGCACCCAGGCCUGCCCUUAUGAUGGAUACUUGGUAACUGAAGCUGGUUCAAAGCCACUAAUGGAAUGCAACAAGGCUCUAGCAGAAACAAUUGGGAAAACUACUGUCCAUUGCCUUUAUCAUAGGAGUGGCUGUGUAUGGCAAGGUCCUUUAUCUGAUUGCACAACACACUGUUCUGGAUGUGCCUUUGGUAAUUCUCCAGUUGUAUGCAACCGGUGUGGAAUUCAUAUUGUCCAUCGUCAAGUGCAAGAGCAUGCGCAGACCUGUAAUGCCAAUGGUACAAAUACUCAGUCACAACCAGGGGGUGAGACUACACAGGUUGCUGCAUCAUCUGGAGUAACUGUGCCCACAGACCAUAGCAAGAUUGCUAAUCAAGCAACAGCACCAGCCUCCCAGCCUCAGGCGUCUCAUACUGCUACUGGACCAUCUGCUGUUCAAAAUGUGAAUCAGCCAGCAACUGUAAAUCCUCCACCCCAAGCCAUGCCUGCAAAUGCUGUGCCAACUCCUGACCAGCAAUACUACCAACAAUAUCAGCAAUAUUACCAACAGUAUCCUGGCUAUGACCCAUAUCAGCAAGGCUAUCAACAGUACUACAUGUAUCAACAGCCACCAGCUCAGCAAUUCCAGCCUCAGCCACAACUUCAGCAGCAACUCCAAGCCCCUGGACAACUUCAACCUCAGGUCCAGCCCCAAAUGCAACCACAGACACAAACUCAAGCUCAAUCACAAAUUUCAGCUAACGGACAGCCUCAAUCUCUUUAUUCUCAGUCAGCUGUCGUUGGAUCAAGUCAAAAUCAGGCUCAAGUGAAUCCUCCACACGCUAACCCAGGUGGUCCGCCCCUUCCGCAAGGUCACAUGCCACCGCCGUCAUACUCACAAGCACAGCCAUAUCCUGCUCAAAAUCAUGCCCAACCACAUAUGCAAGCACCUCAAUUUCAGCAACCUCAUCCACAGAUAAAUCAUUCUCAACCUUCUCAAGUUCAACCACCACCUUAUCCACAAGCGCAACCACAAUUUCAACCACAUCUCCAGCCUCAACCACAAUUGCAACCUCUUAAUCCCCAGCAUCCUCCGGUUCAAUCUGUAGGUCAUCUCCCUUAUUCCCAGCAGGCACCUCAACAACAGCAUCCUAUGCAAGUGCAAUCAUCUGGGUCGUUACUCCCAGGUCAGAUGCAAGCUCAGUUUCCACCACCACCCCCUCAUAUGCGUCCUCUUCAACCUCCUCAUAUGUUGCCACCUCAGCAGCGUCCUAUUAUGCAGCAGGUUCAGCAACCAAUGUCUCAACAAUAUAUGCAGCAGCCUCAAACAUUUACAGGACAAGCACCCGGUCAACUUCAAGGUCAGCCACACCAUGCUGGUUCUUUUGCACAGCAGAUCUCUCAAGUAAAUCCACCUGGUCCACCUCAGCCAAUGCAACAACUUCCUCUUGGCUAUGUUCAACCGCAGCAAGGGACUGCAUUGCCGCCUCAUUCGUCUCAAAGCUACAUUGGGCAACCUGGUAUGUUGAAUCAGGGAGGUCAGUCACUGCAAUUCCCCCAAUCUUCUGUUGUAGCCGGUAUUCCACCUCAUGUUAGACCACCACAUAAUGUAAGCAUGACGAAUCAGCCACCCGUAUAUUUAGAGCAGCAACAUAACCAAUAUGCACCGCCCGCAAGAAGAGCGGAAGACAGGUCACCUUCCUUGAAGAAACAUGAGCCAGUGGCUAAUGAUUCUGGAGCUAAUGUUAAGGAUGUAAAAUCUGAAGCUGUUAUUAAUGAUGAACGCAAGUCUGGAAAUGGAGGUGAUAUUGACCAGAGAAAAGAUGAGAGCAGAGAUGGUGAUUCCAUGCUUUUACAAAGAGUGAAAGAAGAGAGCAAAGAGCGUACAAUAGAUCAUUCUCCUGGUGGCAAGUCUAGUCAAAAUAAAACCGAGGAUGGGGGAGCUUCCACCACCGACUCUGAGGUUAAGAAUGGAAAUGCUCAACAAGGCCAAAUUGGUGAUGUGUCUGGUGGAUUUCCAAGCAAGGGCACUGAACAUGGAAGAUCUCCACAUCCUCACAUGCCUCAUGGGCAUUCUGGGCAGCAACAAAGACCUGCUGCACCUGCAAGUCAUUUACGGCCUCUGGGGCCUGGUUAUUUUCCCCAUCCAGGUGAGCAUUUCCAUCCACCUGGUCCAAGCCAACAUGGUCCUUUCCCGUCCGAGGGCCCUUUCAGUGGACCACCUGGUCCUGGAUCUACUAUUUAUGGUAAUGACAGCAGGAGUUAUGAUCUAAGGCCACCACUCGGUAAUGUACCCCAUCCACAUGGGCCUGAUCCACGUCUUCUUGGUCCGAUGGAAUCUGAUAUGUACCAAAACCAGAGGCCCCCUCAUUAUGAUAGUAGACGUCCAGAUUCAUACUUAUCUGGAAAUGUUGACAGAGGACCUUAUGGGCAGCCUUUUGGUGUUGAAUCAAAUUCUACGAGGAUGAACGGUGGACCACCACUAAGUCAUGACUCGUCAUUAGCACCUGGUUUUCGUGAUCACAACUUUAAAAAUCCUGAUGCUUUUCCUAUGGGACCGACUCGUUACCAUGAUCAAGGCGAGCUUAAGGGAACUCUGAAACAGUUCCCUGGCCCCCCUCAUUUAGGCAGUGAGGGUUCCCCGAAAUUUGGGAAUCACUCAUCAAGGCCAAUAGGCGUGGACGGACCAUCAAGGUUUCUUGAUAAAGACCCCCAUGGAUACGACUAUCAUUCUGCUGAUGGUUUGCAUCCUGGUGAUUCUGGUGGAAGACCACUUCCUGUAAGUAUACAUGAUGAUAACAGAGGGAGGUUCGAUAAUAACCGCCACAACCCUGAUUUUUUUGGACCAAUGCAUGGUUUUGGUCGGCAUAACAGGGACCGUUUACCACCUGGUAGUCCAGGAAAUCCAUCACGUCCAUUUAGGGGACCACACAAUGUCGAUUUCGAUGGCAGGGAGAUGGAAAGACACCCAUUUGGUAAUAGAUUCCCAAUGGGGCCUCCUGGUCACAUGCAUAGAGGGGAGUUUGAUGGCCCGCCACAGCCAAGAAGUGGUGAACCUUUUGGCCCGAGAGGUCGCGGUGAGCCUGGUAUUGGCUUCUUUCAAGAAUAUGGUCGACCUGGGGAAUCAAAUGGGCCUGGAGGCUUCUCUCAUCAACCACCUUUUGGAGAAUUAUACGGCAUCAAGUCAACUGGCCCACAUUUGGGCGAACCAGGUUUUAGAAGUAGCUAUUCCCGUCAGGGGUUCCCAAGUGAUGGUGGAUUUUUUGCAGGUGGGCCUGAUUCAUUUGACCCUUUAAGGAAGAGAAAAACUUCAAGUAUGGGUUGGUGUCGCAUUUGCAAAGUUGAUUGUGAAAGUGUGGAAGGUCUGGAUAUGCAUGGUCAAACACGCGAACACCAGAGGAUGUCUAUGGAUAUGGUCAUUAGCAUCAAGCAGAAGAAUGCUAAGAAACAAAAAGCAUUUAAUGACCAUUCUCCACAUGAGGAGGCAAGCAAGUUCAGAAAACCAGAGAGUAACGCCCGAGCUAAUAUGUCUUAGGUGCUGAAGGUUGAGUUGAGGACGGAUCAAAGCAGUAUCGUCUUUGGUAAUUUUACAUGUAGCAAUUGAUUAACAGCUGGAUCAGAAGCAUCGGAUCCAUCAUCGUUCACUUGGGGGAAUCUGAAACUACAUAUAAGUUUAGUGUGAUUUUGUCUGAUUUGCACUUUUUGAUCCUGAAGCUACAUAUAAAUUUAGUGUGGAAUUUGUCUGAUUUGCAUUUUUUGACAUCAAAUAUAGAUUAACAUCCGCAUAGUAUCUGGAACUUUGACCUCCUAUGCGCAUACAGCAUACUAGUAUACUACUCUUUGGAUAAGCCUAUGCAGGUCAUGAAUGCUGCAUGUCGUUUGUAUAUUUAUUGAAUUUUGUGUGGUUAUACAAUUUUACAGACCAGAUAGCUUAACAAUGAUUUUGCUCAAAUUUUGUCUGUAUAUUGCUGUUAGCUUCUGAUACCUAGAAUGCAAUUUCUUUGUCACAAAAUAAUCUGAUCUAGGUGUCCCACAUGCAAUGACAAAAAGAAACAACCAUAGGCUUUUGAAGAGUCAACCCCCUACAUAUAGGCUCUGGUAUUGAUCUUUAGCAACACACAAAAUGUUUAAAAUUUUCUAUAUAUAACUCCCGAUCAUUCAUAGUGAAUUGUAUUGUAAUUGUGCUUAUCUAUGUAAAAUAUCAAAUUGGGGUCUCAAAACGUUUUAGUGUCUGCUUUUGUUUCCCUCCUUCGAGUGGAAACCAUUUUACUCUUCGUAUUGGAUCUGGUUCAUUUUUUAUACAAAACAGACAAUCAAAAAGCUGAUAUUUUCCUGGGGAGAGAUUUACUUGCAAAUUUUGUUAGUAAGGAUUUAUUCAGUGCAGUGUGAACACCGUCUCUUGAACUUUGGUAGCUUUUGAUGUCUUUCUAGAAGUUCCUUACUAUCUCACCUUGUUGAAUGCUAUCAUUUCUUUGGUUGCCAACAUAUUUCGUAUUCUUAACUGCCUUUCAUGUAUCUCCCUUUUUGUAUUGGCUUGCGUAGCUCGGUUAAACACUGUUCUUGCCAGGUGAGAAUUCUGAUUAAGGAGUCGAGACUUCUAUGAAGGCAUGUGGUGCUAAUGAGCAGUGACCAAUUAGUUAACAAAUAUAAUUGGAAUGACGAGGCAGUACAAUGUCUUGGUGUGUGUGUCUGUGUGAGUAUUUACGUAUAUAUACAUCUUUAUGUGUGGUCAUCGGGACUGGAUAAGGUCUUAGUUAGUUUUAGCGCCAUAUAAGGAAGAAAUCAAAGCUUUAUGCACAACAAGAUGGUAACAAUAGCUAUAUACAAUCUUAGAACUGUGAAUCUUAUAUUCAAGACCUUAAAGCAAAUUUAUGGUUCUUCCAAAAAAAGUCAACUUAAAGUCUUUAAUAUCUAUAUAUUUUCAUUGAUCCCAAUGGUGAUCCAAUAUGCUAAUGCAGACAAUAGUGCAUUUAGAUAAUGUCUACCAACUGUAUAUUAUGCUGUGAUGUUUCUGCUUAGAGAAGAUUACGAACUGAUUGCAAUAGAAGUGUCUAGAAAGAAACAUCACGGGGUAUUUUCACGAUUGUAGAAGUAAACUUGCACAAGAUUGUCAUCGAGUGCAAGUUAACUUUAAGUUUGAUUGUUCAUUAAUGAUUUGUAACUAAAGACACUAGAGAAUAGCUGUUAGGAAAACCUUGAGGCCUUAGCGGUUGAACUGUCGAAUAAAUAAUGAAUUUGGUUGGAUAACUUAGCAAGAUGUUUAUUAGUGAAACAUGAAUAACUUAUUUUUAAACGAAUGCAAUACAAACUACUAGAUACACCAUUAGAUAUAUCUUCAAAUGUAGAAACAAGGUUAGCAAUGCAAAUGUGACAAUUAAAAGUUUUCUUUUGAGUUAUUUUUUUGGCAUCCUUUAUUUACUAGCUUCUUACUAAAGGCAGACAAUAAGGAAUCUUAUUCUUGAACAACCAAGACAUGAAAGGCGAAGUAUUGACACAUAGUUGCUUUUUAGUUUUGUUUUAUAUUAUCUUUUACUUUUUAGAACCAAAUGCAUUGUAUAAUUUUUCUUUAUUUUUUUUUCCUAAUAUUUUUGUCAUGCUACUCUCUAAUACGUCCAUAUUUCUACUAGGCAUAGACACCAUUGGCUUAUUAUAUACUGGGACAGUUAGGUUAUUAGACAAUGAAAUGUACAGAGGAAUAGUGCAAUUCGGACACUAGUUUAGCUUUGAGAAAAUGAAUGGAUAGUUCACAAAAGAUGCCAACGUCUCUAAAUAACUGGAAGAACUUAUUUAAAAUUCAUCACUUAAUACUUUGGUGACCGGCAUUUAGCACUAAAUAUAUUGAUAUUUACUAUAUGUAUCUGGUGUCGAUUACAGAAGCCUGUAGCUUGAAGAUAUUGGGAAGAUGCACCACUAAGGCAAAUUGUAGAAAAUGUUUCUUCCAUUAGCGACAUAUUAUAUAGUUGAUCUAGGCUGUAACCUAAUUUUUAAGCUGGUCCUCCCACCUAGUGUCAUUUUUUUAAUCUAUAGAAGGAACAUACAGAUAGUUCUUGGUUUCUUGAUUCUUAAUUAACAUAUUUAUUCUCGGACGUUCUAUUAACUUGUACAUUGCUUUCACAUUGCUGAAUCGUUGAAUUUGGAGAACAAUGCUGCGUUGUAUCUUAUUAAAUCAUUCUGUCAGGAAUAUGUCCUUGAGACUGUAAGAUAAUAUAGGUAGGAGUAAUAAAUGCUUACUGAAAAGGCAGGCAUAUCCUUCAGAUACACCAAGUGAUUGAGAACUUCAUUUAUAGUUCAACUUUUUAUGCUUAGGUUGAGGGUCUGAAAAUGGUGGUUUUUAUCGUUAUAUAUCAAAUCUUAGCCUUCGGUUACUGUUUUAUAAUUUUGCCAAAGUAGUUUUAAUAAGAAUGAGGGGUGGAUUUUGAUUGAUGAAGAUUUGAAUAAGAGAAAUGUAGUAGGGGGACGAGUGGUAUCCUGAUUUUGGUAUGUUGGAACUUAAAGAUACUUAUUUAGUGAUUCUGAAAUACUAUAGGCAAUUUUGGAAGCACUAUAACAUUUUUAGUGCUGCUCCAAAUGUUAACAUUGUCAAUCUAAUUAGCAGACAGUACUGAGACCCUUUAUGUUCAUGGAAUCUUAUACAAAGUUUGAGACCUGUUGUUUUCUGGCAGUGUUUCUGGUUCCCUUUUCACUUGAAUUAACAUUGCUGUUAGAUGUUUAGAAGGUUACAAUAUCAUGUAGUUUUCCGCUUUCAGAUAAAAUCACAUAUAUACUUGGUCUUGUAGACCGUUUAUUGAUAUUUCAUCUAUAGUUGACAUGUGAGCUGGAAUUAGUUUUAGUCGGAAUGGAUGAUUGGGAAUAGUUGUUGAUGAAAGAGUAUAUAAGAGAAUAUUUGCUUACAAAUAAACAGGUCCUUAGCAUUGAGCUUUGAUAACAUGACAGACU